AUUGAACGCUGGCGGCAGGCCUAACACAUGCAAGUCGAAUGGUAACAGGAAACAGCUUGCUGUUUCUCUGACGAGUGGCGGACGGGUGAGUAAUGUCUGGGAAACUGCCUGGUGGAGGGGGAUAACUACUGGAAACGGUAGCUAAUACCGCAUAACGUCGCAAGACCAAAGAGGGGGACCUUCGGGCCUCUUGCCAUCAGAUGUGCCCAGAUGGGAUUAGCUAGUAGGUGGGGUAACGGCUCACCUAGGCGACGAUCCCUAGCUGGUCUGAGAGGAUGACCAGCCACACUGGAACUGAGACACGGUCCAGACUCCUACGGGAGGCAGCAGUGGGGAAUAUUGCACAAUGGGCGCAAGCCUGAUGCAGCCAUGCCGCGUGUAUGAAGAAGGCCUUCGGGUUGUAAAGUACUUUCAGCGGGGAGGAAGGGAGUAAAGUUAAUACCUUUGCUCAUUGACGUUACCCGCAGAAGAAGCACCGGCUAACUCCGUG
rnacentral:rRNA from 1 species